rnacentral:rRNA from 1 species
UACGUAGGGGCGAGCGUUGUCCGGAGUUACUGGCGUAAAGGGCAUGCAGGCGGUCGCACGCGUGUGGCGUGACAGCGGGUGGCUUAACUACCCAAGCAUGGCACAGACGGUGUGACUUGAGGGCGCGAGAGGGACGACGGAAUUCCGCGUGUAGCAGUGAAAUGCGUAGAGAAUGCGGAGGAACACCGAUGGCGAAGGCAGCCCCUGGGCUAGCACUGACGCUCGAGGCACGAAAGCGUGGGGAGCAAACAGG